UACGAAGGGGGCUAGCGUUGCUCGGAAUGACUGGGCGUAAAGCGUGCGUAGGCGGUUCUCCAAGUCCGUUGUGAAAGCCCCGGGCUCAACCUGGGAAUGGCAGUGGAAACUAGGGGACUGGAAUCUGGCAGAGGGGGGUGGAAUGCCGCGUGUAGCAGUGAAAUGCGUAGAGAUGCGGCGGAACACCGAUGGCGAAGGCAGCCCCCUGGGCUGAGAUUGACGCUCAGGCACGAAAGCGUGGGGAGCAAACAGG
rnacentral:rRNA from 1 species